rnacentral:lncRNA from 1 species
UCACAUGAGUGGUGACAAUUUCUGCAUAACUUCAGUACACUCAGGAUGAGCCUUUCUGACUAAAGAAAUUAACGAAUGACUAGAUUUGUAAACUAGGAGGAGACAUUAUCCUGGCUAUGUUUCACCUAAUUGUGCUCCUGUGACAGUUCUUUGCAGUUUUCUGCAACCUGACCAUGUUAGCAUGUUCAUUCAAAGCUAGUCAUUGUGCAUAGUCUUCACCUGGCAACAGCAACACCAUUUCGCACAGUUUGCCCCCAUCAAAUGGCUGGUCGACGCCAUUGGCUUCUCGGUGCAUUCCAAGCCCACACAUGUAAUUCGAUCAUUUUAGAGAAUGCAUCAUGAUCUUAUUGAAUCCCUCAACUCGACCUCAAAGGAUGACAGGUUUCUAGUUCUCACAACCUGUCACUUGGAUUCAUAUAUGUUAGUUUCAUUUCACGGUGAGUAAAAUUUUUGAACUCAAAAUGAAUGGUGAGUAAAAGUUUCUAGAUGUUUUGGAUAGCCAUGUAGAGAGGCUCUAUCUGUUGUGACUUGUGAGAGUUUGUAGGCACAAAGCAUCCUGAUGGGAUGUACUACGUUCAAGAGAUGGCUUACAUUUACUCAUUUAAAAGACUCCAGGCAGUAAUAAACAGUGAAUAUUUGCCUUCAUCCACCACCACUAACAUGUUGGACCAUAAAACAAUGAGCCUUAUUUUUACUAGAGUAACAUGAACCACUUUGUUAUAUGUUAAACCAAUAAUAAAGAGAGUUAUGCAUAAAACAUUUAAAGGGAAGAUAUCAAAUUCCAGCAGUAAAUCAAGUAAGAACUUAACCGCAGCUUCAUUCUUCCUGGUUUGUCUGUCCAUCUCCUAUUGUUCGGUGAUGUUGGCAGCGGUCACUUUGGUCGAACUUGAUUAUUUUGAAUAUUUGAAGUUCAUGAAACUUUGGUCGAACUUCAGUCCUUCAGGCCUCCUAUUCCUAGCCUCCCAGACUCUGCUCUGGGAGCUACGACCCUAUCAGUACAUACAUAGAUUAU